rnacentral:rRNA from 1 species
AUUGAACGCUGGCGGCAGGCCUAACACAUGCAAGUCGAGCGGAUGAGAGAAGCUUGCUUUUCGAUUCAGCGGCGGACGGGUGAGUAAUGCCUAGGAAUCUGCCUGUUAGUGGGGGAUAACGCGGGGAAACUCGCGCUAAUACCGCAUACGUCCUACGGGAGAAAGCGGGGGCUCUUCGGACCUCGCGCUAACAGAUGAGCCUAGGUCGGAUUAGCUAGUUGGUGGGGUAAUGGCCCACCAAGGCGACGAUGCGUAACUGGUCGGGGAGGAUGGUCAGUCAAACUGGAACUGAGACACGGUCCAGACUCCUACGGGAGGAAGCAGUGGGGAGUAUUGGACAAUGGGCGAAAGCCUGAUCCAGCCAUGCCGCGUGUGUGAAGAGGGUCUUCGGAUUGUAAAGCACUUUAAGUCGGGAGGAAGGGCUGUAGGCUAAUACCUUGCAGUUUUGACGUUACCGACAGAAUAAGCACCGGCUAACUUCGUGCCAGCCGCCGCAGUAAAAC